GAUUCCUUUUGAUUCGAUUAUCUGGGUGGGACUUCGUGGGAUGGACGAACCGGCUGCCUCUAGUUUGAGGAAUUUGAGCUGCGGGGACAUCACAUCAUCGCGCCAGCGCAAGGAGAUCACGUCGCUGCGGCUUGCACAGUGCCCGAACAGCACGGCUGAAAUCUGUUUAAUUUCCGAGACCACAUUAGAGGACAGGAACUGAAUUUUUAUUAAAUUUUGAAGACAAGGAAGACAGUUUAAACACUAUUUCACUCAAUAAGGAAAUUCAGAGAAUCGUGGGUUUAUUUCAACACAA